AACAUUGCAAGUCGAACGAUGAAGCCCAGCUUGCUGGGUGGAUUAGUGGCGAACGGGUGAGUAACACGUGAGUAACCUGCCCUUAACUCUGGGAUAAGCCUGGGAAACUGGGUCUAAUACCGGAUAGGAGCGUCCACCGCAUGGUGGGUGUUGGAAAGAUUUAUCGGUUUUGGAUGGACUCGCGGCCUAUCAGCUUGUUGGUGAGGUAAUGGCUCACCAAGGCGACGACGGGUAGCCGGCCUGAGAGGGUGACCGGCCACACUGGGACUGAGACACGGCCCAGACUCCUACGGGAGGCAGCAGUGGGGAAUAUUGCACAAUGGGCGAAAGCCUGAUGCAGCGACGCCGCGUGAGGGAUGACGGCCUUCGGGUUGUAAACCUCUUUCAGUAGGGAAGAAGCGAAAGUGACGGUACCUGCAGAAGAAGCACCGGCUAACUACGUGCCAGCAGCCGCGGUAAUACGUAGGGUGCGAGCGUUAUCCGGAAUUAUUGGGCGUAAAGAGCUCGUAGGCGGUUUGUCGCGUCUGUCGUGAAAGUCCGGGGCUUAACCCCGGAUCUGCGGUGGGUACGGGCAGACUAGAGUGCAGUAGGGGAGACUGGAAUUCCUGGUGUAGCGGUGGAAUGCGCAGAUAUCAGGAGGAACACCGAUGGCGAAGGCAGGUCUCUGGGCUGUAACUGACGCUGAGGAGCGAAAGCAUGGGGAGCGAACAGGAUUAGAUACCCUGGUAGUCCAUGCCGUAAACGUUGGGCACUAGGUGUGGGGACCAUUCCACGGUUUCCGCGCCGCAGCUAACGCAUUAAGUGCCCCGCCUGGGGAGUACGGCCGCAAGGCUAAAACUCAAAGGAAUUGACGGGGGGCCCGCCCAAGCGG
rnacentral:rRNA from 1 species